GUCUAAAGAGGAGAGGGACGAACUCAUGUCCAGACUGAGCUUGCUCUCUGAGGACAGAGAGCAGCUGCAGCAGGCUCUGGACACACUUGCACAGGAAAAGCAGCAGCUCAAGCAGCUCCUGGAUAACAGGACGGACAUGCUUAAUGAGACACAAACGAUUCUACAGACACUUGAGCAGAGACUUCAGGAGCAAAAUCAAAAGAACUUGGACUUGGAAAGACUGAGCCAAGACGGACAUAAUGAGCUGGAGAGCCAGAUGAAGACUCUUGAAGAGGAACUUGAGCGUGUACAAGCAGACAGUGAGAGGUCUAAAGAGGAGAGGGAUGAGCUCGUGUCCAGACUAAGUGCUGUCACUGAGGACAGAGAGCAGCUGCAGCAGGCUCUGGACAUACUUGCAC
ensembl:lncRNA